CUGGAAGAAGGAAAUAAAGAUAGCUGACAAGAAAACCUUUCAUCUCAUUUGCUGUUUAGACUCUCACAGGGCUGCAGCUAGGAAACAAAAGUAGAGCUCCCCAGGAUCAGCCUAGCUAAUGAAUCUUUAGUUUAUUAGAAGAUUGGCUACAGGUGUUGUCUCUGGUGAGAGCUCUAAGGUAUAAAUUGACCCUGCAGGAUGAUAAGGCUGGUGCAUAAUUAUUACCCAGUGUUGGAAUGAUGGACUUACUACGAGCUUAUACUGUCCAGGAGAAAACUGAGCAGUGGAAAACACACAUUUCUUGGGAACAAGGCUGGGACUAAGGAUUUCCGGGUGUCGCCCGGGGCUGGGGAAGGUUCAUUAUACAGUAAAAAAAAAAAAAAUUUGCUCCCUCAAACAAACUGUGGGCAGCUCAGUUGGAGAGGAGCUACUGGAGGAGAAGGACACCUCUCACCUGUUGCUGGCGCUCGGACCCAACAGCAACUGCUGCAGCACCCAAGAUCUGGAGGCACUGCCAGAGCUUCUGGUCGCCGGAGACAUCAAGGAGUUGCCAGGGCUGUCGUUAGCUGUUUUCCCAGUGUGAGAUGGAUAUUGACCCCGGGACCCAGGCCUGAAGCAGCAAAUACAUUGAAGACUUCUACUGGGAUUGCUUUUGCAUGGAGUUCUGAGUGGAGACCCUACAUCAAGAAUGUUGUUAACAAAAUCCACUCAUGUUCGCUAAUGAUGACUUCAUACCUAAAUGAACAUGUGUUUGAAUAAAAAUAUGAGUGGAUAUUGACAUGUAAUUGUCUGUUUGACUGUCUUAAUAAAGAACAGGAAUUACAUGAUGUCCUGUGGUUAAAGCGCA